rnacentral:rRNA from 1 species
UUCGCCCUUAGAGUUUGAUCCUGGCUCAGGAUGAACGCUGGCGGCGUGCUUAACACAUGCAAGUCGAACGGACUCAUAUUGAAACCUAGUGAUUUAUGAGUUAGUGGCGGACGGGUGAGUAACGCGUGGAUAACCUGCCGUAUACCGGGGGAUAACACUUAGAAAUAGGUGCUAAUACCGCAUAAGCGCACGGUCCCGCAUGGGACAGUGUGAAAAACUCCGGUGGUGCAAGAUGGACCCGCGUCUGAUUAGCUGGUUGGCGGGGUAAAGGCCCACCAAGGCGACGAUCAGUAGCCGGACUGAGAGGUUGGCCGGCCACAUUGGGACUGAGACACGGCCCAGACUCCUACGGGAGGCAGCAGUGGGGAAUAUUGGGCAAUGGGCGCAAGCCUGACCCAGCAACGCCGCGUGAAGGAAGAAGGCCUUUCGGGUUGUAAACUUCUUUUCUCAGGGACGAAGAAAGUGACGGUACCUGAGGAAUAAGCCACGGCUAACUACGUGCCAGCAGCCGCGGUAAUACGUAGGUGGCAAGCGUUAUCCGGAUUUACUGGGUGUAAAGGGCGUGUAGGCGGGAAAGCAAGUCAGAUGUGAAAACCAUGGGCUCAACCUGUGGCCUGCAUUUGAAACUGUUUUUCUUGAGUACUGGAGAGGCAGACGGAAUUCCUCGUGUAGCGGUGAAAUGCGUAGAUAUGAGGAGGAACACCAGUGGCGAAGGCGGUCUGCUGGACAGCAACUGACGCUGAGGCGCGAAAGCGUGGGGAGCAAACAGGAUUAGAUACCCUGGUAGUCCACGCUGUAAACGAUGGAUACUAGGUGUGGGGGGACUGACCCCCUCCGUGCCGCAGUUAACACAAUAAGUAUCCCACCUGGGGAGUACGAUCGCAAGGUUGAAACUCAAAGGAAUUGACGGGGGCCCGCACAAGCGGUGGAGUAUGUGGUUUAAUUCGAAGCAACGCGAAGAACCUUACCAGGGCUUGACAUCCCGGUGACCGGCAUAGAGAUAUGCUUUUCUCUUCGGAGACACCGGUGACAGGUGGUGCAUGGUUGUCGUCAGCUCGUGUCGUGAGAUGUUGGGUUAAGUCCCGCAACGAGCGCAACCCUUAUUGUUAGUUGCUACGCAAGAGCACUCUAGCGAGACUGCCGUUGCCAAAACGGAGGAAGGUGGGGACGACGUCAAAUCAUCAUGCCCCUUAUGUCCUGGGCCACACACGUACUACGAUGGUGGUCAACAGAGGGAAGCAAAGCCGCGAGGUGGAGCAAAUCCCUAAAAGCCAUCCCAGUUCGGAUCGCAGGCUGCAACCCGCCUGCGUGAAGUUGGAAUCGCUAGUAAUCGCGGAUCAGCAUGCCGCGGUGAAUACGAUCCCGGGCCUUGUACACACCGCCCGUCA